UACAGAGGGUGCAAGCGUUAAUCGGAAUUACUGGGCGUAAAGGGCGCGUAGGUGGAAAUAUAAGUCAAAUGUGAAAGCCCCGGGCUUAACCUGGGAAUGGCAUGUGAAACUGUAUUUCUCGAGUAGAGUAGAGGGCAGUGGAAUUUCCGGUGUAGCGGUGAAAUGCGUAGAUAUCGGAAGGAACACCAGUGGCGAAGGCGGCUGCCUGGACUCUAACUGACACUGAGGCGCGAAAGCGUGGGGAGCGAACAGG
rnacentral:rRNA from 1 species